AGAUCACUCGACUCGUUGGCUAUUACUGCUUCUUCGACAAGGCUGAUAACGAGAAUCCAACUUUAAGAUGUCCAACUUGUCAGUAUUAUUACUGACUUUGGUUGCGUUGAUCAUUGCCGUCAGUAACGUCGUCAGUGGAGACAACUGUGUUCGGAGAGACGAUUUCAAUGUGUGUACCUAUCAGUGCAAGAUAUACUGUGACCCAGAUAGCUUUGAAUACGACCAGGUAGACUACGAGGGAUGUUUGGCCCACUGCUGCCGAAAUGGUCCCCCUCCUACCCCCCAAGACGGAGAUGGAUACUGCCAGUAUGCUUUCCCCACUCAGGUUUACGGGAAUGAAUGUAAAUACGCUGACUGUUGCGGACAAGGAUGUAAGUGCUGCACUGCAUAGUGCAUACAUUCCAUCUUAUUUUUCUCUGUAUAGGCAAUAGAAUAAACGCAUCGCGAUGUAAGAAUGAAGCAUUGAAA